UUCCUGUUGUCCUUCCUGUUGAUAAAAAAAAUUUGGAAACCUUGUGAUUAUGCAAUAAUGUAGUUUUCGUUUAAAAUCAUCUGAACAUUCAAUUGUCUGAUACAUGCGAUGAGAAUAUAAGAUGGAAUCAGGUAUUAAAAGAGCGGAACAGAUGUGUAGGACUCGGUCGUCUAUUGCAGCCAGAGAAAGUCAUUCGUACGUAAUGGGAAGUUUUCAUAUUCACCCAAGAAUAAUUCUCAUAUCAGAUGGAAGGCCAACAGAUUUCACAGAGUCGAUUUCUGAUGACUGUCCUUCAAAUGAAACGGAAAGAGAUGCGUCUCAUUUAUUAGACAUUACAAGGCACAUAGGAAAAAAACAUCCAAUAUUUUGUAUUCCGGUAGGAAGGAACCCUGAUCUGAGAUUGUUAGAAUUCAUUUGUGCCCAGUCACGGGGAGGAAAGAUUAUCAAUUUCAGAGAAUCUAAACAAUUUGCUAAAUACUCUCUGAAUACCAAAAUUGCUUCGAACUUGUCGUUUACAAUGGAGAAUGACGGUAAUGACCGAGAAAGAAUUCAGACGUCACUUGUGUGUACAUUUCCGGAAAAAGUGUUUACCGAGAUGGACCUUAAUGACAUAUAUGAAAUUUGCUCCAAAAAGUUCUUGUACCAACCGAUCGAUGAAAACACUGAAGUAGAGAAUGAUGCUUAUGAGGAAAGAGACCCGCGAAUGCCCUCCCUGGGUUCCCGAGUCAAACGUGGUCGAGACUGGAGAUAUCCUGAUCAAGAUAAGUUCGGUCCUGGAACGGUGAUAGGACAUUCCAAGAGAGAUGGAUGGUUAAACGUCGAAUGGGACACAGGCUCUAUACAUAAGUAUAGAUAUGGGUCAGCAGAUUUAAAGACGGACAAAUUUGAUGUACAGGUCUGUAACGAACCACGGAUUUUAAAUGAUGAACUGAUUGCAACAGGCUGCAAUGUCACAAGAGGUCCGGAUUGGGUUUGGAAUGACCAGGACGGUGGUACCGGAAACAUCGGAUCAGUUCUUCAUGUUGGGAGUGAUGGGAUAGUCCUUGUGCAGUGGGAAAAUGGAAGAAGAGGGACAUAUAGAUUUGGAAAUUAUGGCUUCUUUGAUCUAAAACUUUGUGAUCCAUUCUCCCCAGAAGUCACAAGGUAUCAUCUCAAGAAAGCUGCGCUGAAUUCUUCUGUUGAAACUGAAGCAUGUACGAAAGGGGGAUUUAGCGUCAAAAUCAUCGAAUGAUAAAACUGUUGAAAUGACAAAGAAGCCUAUACUACAUGUAGCGAAGGGAAAGUAUUUCAGAAAUGACAUAGUGAGUAACAAACCAUCAGAUAUUGAUACCGAUGGGCCAACUUAUCCAUGUACAAUAAAUCAGUGGCUCUGGAAAGAUGACAACGGACAUUGGAAUCAAUAUUCGAGAGAAGUGAAUGCAAGAAUUAAUCAAUCUUACAAACGUGAUCCAAACUCAAGUGUUAUUGUUACCAUCCAGGAUCAAGCUUACAGGGUUGUGAUGGCUAAGAGUAAACAGAUAAACCUUGCGACAAGAGAGAUAACUGAGGUGAAACUGUUGAAAAACGACUCGUCUCCGUGAAAAACACGAGCAACAAUGUUUAAAACAUGUGUCUUAGUUUGAAAAAUAAACCUAUACAAUCUU
rnacentral:misc_RNA from 1 species